rnacentral:lncRNA from 1 species
CACUCUGGCACCUCAUGCAUAGUCACUCUGAUUUCUCAGGCUCAGAGCCGCACUUCCAGAUGCCUGGACACAAGUCUGCUAGACUGAAUACCUCAUGGAACAGCAAGGUGGCCUCACUUCCCCAGGUGCCUGGUAGAACUCCUCAGCUGGAAAACAACUUCAGAGUGGGGCAGGGGCCUAGCUGGCUGCCUGCCCCUCCUCAGCCCCAGGAGGCCUGUGAAGCAGGGAAGCUGGCUAAUUUUGUCCCCUUUCCUACCUGAGUUGGAGGAGAGAUGGUGACGUUGCCUGCUGCUGGGGUUCGUUCUCAUGUGGUCAGUGACAGUGCUUCCUCCAAGACAGCUAUGGAACACACACAAAAUCAGGAAUCCAGGUGCCAGAGACCCAGUGAUGAGAAUCUCAGAAGAACCCAGAGCCCAGCACCAGUGAUGAGCAUCUCAGAACAACCCAGAGCCCAGCACCAGUGAUAAUGAGAAUCUCAGAAUAACCCAGAGCCCAGCACCGUGGGAAACUUCAAACAGGAAAACCUCAGACCAGCAAACAGGGAUGGCAUCUAUUAUCAGGAAACAAGCCGCUGUAGGGACACUGUAAAUAUGCCCCUUAUCUCUGAAGAAUAUGGAGCUGUCCAAGCUUGUCACACAAAUGAUGGCCAGGAUGGGUCCCUGAAGGCCAGGGGACUGCCACACCAGGCUGGGGGAGCACACCAGGCUGGGGGAGCACACCAGGCUGGGGGAGCACACCAGGCUGGGGGAGCAGGCUGCCCAGUGCUGUCCCCAAGCACUUUGAUAACCCUAUGAACAUCCACAAUCCCUGUCUACAGGUUCUAAGAGUGGGCGUGGCCAGCCUGGCCAAUCAGUUCCUCUGGUUCCCAUAAGGGUGUGGCCUCUGCAGAGUCAGAACCCAGAAGGUCCAACUGAUUCUCUGUUCUGAAGGUCCUCUGGGUUCACAAAGACAGAGUGGGGUCUGGAGCCUCUGGGGACCAGCAUGUCGUCCCAAGGGGAAAGACUGCCACUCUUCCAGGGAUGCCCGGUGGACACAAUGACAGCUGAGGCUGUGUAGGGAUGAGCCAGAGAGGAUACCACUUGGACCCAGAAUCCCUCGAGACCUGCAGCUGAUUCCACUAUGUGACCCACAUAAGGACAACAAAGCAAAGCCAACACAGCCCAGCUGCUUGGAUCUUGAACUCCCCCAGCAGCUGUCCCCACUGUCCCCAC